rnacentral:rRNA from 1 species
CGAUAACGAACGAGACCUUAACCUGCUAAAUAGCUAGGCCUAACAUUGUUAGGUCGCCAGCUUCUUAGAGGGACUAUCGGUGUUUAACCGAUGGAAGUUUGAGGCAAUAACAGGUCUGUGAUGCCCUUAGAUGUUCUGGGCCGCACGCGCGCUACACUGACAGAGCCAACGAGUACAUCACCUUGGCCGGAAGGUCUGGGUAAUCUUCGCAACAUGCAUCGUGCUGGGGAUAGAUUAUUGUAAUUAUUAAUCUUCAACGAGGAAUUCCUAGUAAACGCAAGUCAUCAACUUGCAUUGAUUACGUCCCUGCCCUUUGUACACACCGCCCGUCGCUACUACCGAUUGAAUGGCU